rnacentral:rRNA from 1 species
CCUACGGGGUGCAGCAGUGGGGAAUAUUGGGCAAUGGGCGCAAGCCUGACCCAGCAACGCCGCGUGAAGGACGAAGGCUUUCGGGUUGUAAACUUCUUUUCUCAGGGACGAAGCAAGUGACGGUACCUGAGGAAUAAGCCACGGCUAACUACGUGCCAGCAGCCGCGGUAAUACGUAGGUGGCAAGCGUUAUCCGGAUUUACUGGGUGUAAGGGGCGUGGAGGCGGGAGAGCAAGACAGAUGGGAGAACCAUGGGCUCAAGCGGUGAACUGCAUUUGAAACUGUUUUUCUUGAGUGCUGGGGAGGCAGACGGAAUUCCUAGUGUAGCGGUGAAAUGCGUAGAUAUUAGGAGGAACACCAGUGGCGAAGGCGGUCUGCUGGACAGCAACUGACGCUGAGGCGCGAAAGCGUGGGGAGCAAACAGGAUUAGAUACCCGGGUAGUC